CUCUAAACCUGAUUUGUGGAAUGUGGAAUGGUCUCCUAGAGAAGGUGACAUGAACAUACUCAGUGACUGCCACCAAGCAUAGAGGAAAUGUGAAGAGGAAGAAGUACAGGGUGCUGUAGGAAGUUUAGCAGGUCAGCCACCUACAGCACAGAGCAGGGUGCAGAAGGAUGGAGAGAGGGCCUGGAAGGCGAACAGGAGACAUAAACUACACAGUUCAAUGUGGGGGAAGCUGAGAGGUGAGAGAAGAGGUCAGAGAAGUAAGCCCAGGACAAGGAAGAAGGUUAACAUCCAAUACACAGGAGUAUACACCAUAUGAGACUUUCUCAGUUAUGGAUUGCUAGGAAAGUCAUCUUGGUGGCUGUGUGAAGCAACGUGUUAAGGGCGGUACAUCUGAAGAUGGAGACUGGCUAGAAGACAUUAAUUAAUUCAUCUGAGAGGAGUUCUGUGACGGCUCUACCAGUAAGGUUGGGAAGAAGAAGCAACCUUUGACAGAAAACGUGACCACUAGCCU